rnacentral:rRNA from 1 species
UACAGAGGUCUCAAGCGUUGUUCGGAUUCAUUGGGCGUAAAGGGUGCGUAGGCGGCGCGGUAAGUCGGGUGUGAAAUCUCGGGCUUAACUCCGAAACUGCAUUCGAUACUGCCGUGCUUGAGGACUGGAGAGGAGACUGGAAUUUACGGUGUAGCGGUGAAAUGCGUAGAUAUCGUAAGGAAGACCAGUGGCGAAGGCGGGUCUCUGGACGAGUUC